CGAGGACCACCAUGGCGACCCAGAAGCAAAAAAAAUCUUACAUAAACCCAUCUUUACUCGCACACACAAACAUACACAGAUGCCCCUCUUUUUUUUAAAUAUAAUGCCAUAUAUUUGAAAUCAGAGGGGAGUGCCUGUCCUUGCCAUGCUUGUCAUGUACAGUUUAUCAUCACUGGGUUUACAACAGUCACGAGCAGAAAGCCCCUUCUUCCCUUAAAUAUCUGUCUCCCCCCCCACCCCCUUUUCCCCCUGCCUCCCUCUCUCUCUCCCCUUUGACAGUCACACACACAAACCCAUAGGGAGAAACCACACACAGCAUCACAUCAUAGGCGUACUAUUUAUAGUCCUUCCUCCGGUUUGUGUAAAUGAGUGUGUGCCUCUGUGUGUGUGCAUGUGUGUGGGCAUGUGUAUGAGAGAUGGAAAGAGGGAUGAAAAGAGGGCGAGCGGGUGGAGGUGGGCUAUUUGUACACUGAUGUGCACGUUCCUUAUUAUGCCCCGCGCUGGCAACAACAACAUGAGUGUGCACAGUGAAUGUACAUCACGACGGGCGCAUCUUCACGACAGCUGCUCACAUGCUGUGGAUGUUCCUACUCACAUGUACAAUGCAGCUGGAAGCAACGCGUGUCUCAGUUUAAUGCUCAGCUCCCACUCAUGCAUGCUUGAAGGAGGUAGUUUUGACAUUGUGAUAGAAAAGAGGUGGAUGUUUAAUGUGUGUAUGUGUGUAGAAUUAUAUGCAUUAUAAUCACAUUUUUUAGUGUGUACAAGAUAUUGAGAUUACAUAUUUUUGUGCACGUGUGUGUGUGUGUGUGUGUGUGUGUGUGUGUGUGUGUGCAAUACAUUUCAGGUACCUAAAUGCACAUGCAUCCACCUUGUGUUUGUGUGCACACGCACGUUUGUGCAUGUGUGUGCGUGUGUGUGCGUGUGAGGAAGUUUUGAUGCGUCUCUGUCAGGCCCGGCUCCGUUUGCUCUGUUCGUUUUUAAUGACGCCUCCAGGGAAGCUGACAGUCGCCGUGUUGAGCGCACAGCCUUUGAUGUGAGUGAUUAUGACAUCACAGACGUGCAGCCGAGAAGAGCGGAGGAGUGGGGAUCCGUGCUCUCAGUUUUUUUUUUUUCUUCACUUCCCAGUGGCAUAUUAUUCAGAAAGAAAAGAGGGAGGGAGAGGCAGAGAAACAGAGAGAGAGACAGAGAGAGAGAGAAAAGGAGGAGGAGAGAUUAAAUAUUUGGCCAAAACCAGAAUGCGAUUUUGUGUUCACAGACAAAUGUGCUGCCGAUUGAUGUUGUUGCCUUUGUUGCUACACGUACCAGGAGAUAUGGGCACAAAAACAACCUUUUUUUAAGGAGUCUGUCUUCACAUCUUUAAGGGAAGGAGACUGUAUUUAGCUCCAAACGCUACAUAGUAAAGCAUCAGCGGCAACUAAAUUCAAUCAGUCACUUGCGAUCAACAUUGUUUAAGAAGGAAAUGCUAAUUAGCGUUGCCUUUGCCAGCGGAGGACAGUCUCAGCUCUGCAUUUGAUCGAUGGUGAGCGUUAAGUAAACAGAGGUAAUGCUACAGGACAGACCUAGAUGCUCAACAAAGCCUGAAGCAGAGCGACAGACCAGGAGCAUGUCUGUUGUUGUUGCUGGUGGAGGUAGAUCCAGCAAAACAGAAUAAAUGAGUUCAUUAGAAAGCGAGUGAGCACUUGGCCCUGGGAAAGGCAGUGGGACGUUUUAUGGCACACAUCUACACCCUUCUUUCCUCAGUUCCUUCUGGGUUUUAUUUUUCUUUUCACCUACCUUUUUCCCCUCGCUCCUUCCACCCUCUAUCAAUUCCCCCACUCACAGGCCAACACAACCAAAACCCUGCAAAUGAAAUUCCGUUUUUUUUUCCCCCUUAAAGCCUCUUUCCCCUUUACUUGGUGUCCUGACGCGCUUUUUAUCGUCAAAGUUGCUCCCAAACCUUUGCAUUUAAAAAGUUUGCUGCCAUCUUUUUUCCUUGGCUGCCAGGUGAGCUGAGAGAACAGGGGAUUUAGCUUCCUAGUGGAAAUGCCCUGUAAGCAUGGCUGUAGGCUGUUAGUGUAGCUCAGACAAAAUACUGAGGGCUGCCUUCUGUGUGUGUGUGUGUGUGUAUGUGUUUGUGUAAGCAUGUGUGUGUCUGUGUGUGUUGUCAGGAGAGACUCUGGAUAAACAAGUGAGAGGCAAAAAUACUGAUGUAAAAGUGACACUGACAUUGAACUACUCAUGAUAGAUGACAAAUUGUUUCCACGUCCCACAUUCCAUCACAGCCCUACAAACUGCAGGUACACAGGAUUAUGCUGAUGGAGAAAAAGUUUCUGCUGGCAUAAUUAAAUCAACUCUGACACGGUGAACAGUGUGACUGCAUUAUUUCAGGACUUUCAAAAUAUUCAAAAGCUACAAGUUUAGGGGCCCAGUUGGUGCAGGGCCAUGAGACAAUGAAGCGACUAUUGAACAAAUCUUUUAAUGGAACAAUAAAUAGGUCAGGGUCAAAGUACCCCAUUGUGUUUUCUUUUCCGGUAACUACGUAAGUACUUUCAUUUUGAGUUUAGAUAACAUAGAUAUGUGUAAUAAUGCCUACAUAUUGGAUCAUGUUGUUUAUUUUCAUAAUCCAGGUACAUUGGAUAUACACUGGAAUAAGUAAAGAAUUAAAUAUAAGGUCUAAAACCAAAGGUUCAUUUCCCUCGUUUAAAUACGAUAUGGUAUCUUGUAAUAUACAUGUUCUCCACUGAUACGAAUGCAAUUUAUCAGACAAACACAUUUUCUGUCCUUGACAAUGCCUUAUAAGAUUAUAAGGUUAGAUUUGCUGCAAGGACUACACUGUUAUUAUUUCUUGUUGUGACGUUAAAUAAAUCAGAUCUUUGAUACUGCUCUAAAACAGUUAAUGGGCUCUGCUUGCUAUGAGAACUACUGUGCUGUUUUAGAGCAGCAAAGAACACUUUUUUUAAUUCAGGGUUUUUUGUUUAGGAAUCUAGAUUUGUGGCGUAUGUGUCGAUACCAGAUCUUUCAUUUUAGUUUAGUAUUAGAGGCAUUUUCAAUACUUGUAAUGGAACAACACUAAUAUCAGUAGAGAGGGGUGUCAGUAAUGAUCCAUUAUCACAUGUAUUGUUUUUAAAGAACUUAGUCAGCUUUUUUUACAUCUUUUAAAUCUAAAGGUAAAGUUUUAACUAAUAGCAGAACUUUCAGUAUGGUUACCUCAGUCACCAAAAAGGCGACAAGACUAUAUCCAAUAUCAAACCUGUCGAUUUCUCUAAAUAUCUAUUUAAUUUAAACAGCUUAUUAAUCCCUUUUGGGAAAUGGCUUUGCAGCAGCUUGUACAGAGAAAACAUAAAAAAGACACAGUGACGUACAGACAACAGAUUAUACAAAAGAGCUCAAAUAUAGAUUAUGUUAUGUAUCAAUGUUAGGCAGACUGAUUA